GUUCCUGUAGCUCAAUUUGGUAGAGCAUGCGACUGUUAAUCGCAGGGUUGGAGGUCCGAGUCCUCCCGGGAACG
rnacentral:tRNA from 1 species